CCUACGGGAGGCUGCAGUGAGGAAUAUUGGUCAAUGGACGAGAGUCUGAACCAGCCAAGUCGCGUGAAGGAUGACUGCCCUAUGGGUUGUAAACUUCUUUUAUAAAGGAAUAAAACGAGGCACGUGUGCCUUUUUGCAUGUACUUUAUGAAUAAGGAUCGGCUAACUCCGUGCCAGCAGCCGCGGUAAUACGGAGGAUCCGAGCGUUAUCCGGAUUUAUUUGGUUUAAAGGGAGCGUAGAUGGGUUGUUAAGUCAGUUGUGAAAGUUUGCGGCUCAACCGUAAAAUUGCAAUUGAUACUGGCAGUCUUGAGUACAGUUGAGGUAGGCGGAAUUCGUGGUGUAGCGGUGAAAUGCGUAGAUAUCACGAAGAACCCCGAUUGCGAAGGCAGCUUACUAAACUGUGACUGACAUUGAUGCUCGAAAGUGUGGGUAUCAAACAGGAUUAGAUACCCCUGUAGUC
rnacentral:rRNA from 1 species